rnacentral:rRNA from 1 species
ACGGGUGAGGAAUACAUCGGAAUCUACCUUUUCGUGGGGGAUAACGUAGGGAAACUUACGCUAAUACCGCAUACGACCUUCGGGUGAAAGCAGGGGACCUUCGGGCCUUGCGCGGAUAGAUGAGCCGAUGUCGGAUUAGCUAGUUGGCGGGGUAAAGGCCCACCAAGGCGACGAUCCGUAGCUGGUCUGAGAGGAUGAUCAGCCACACUGGAACUGAGACACGGUCCAGACUCCUACGGGAGGCAGCAGUGGGGAAUAUUGGACAAUGGGCGCAAGCCUGAUCCAGCCAUACCGCGUGGGUGAAGAAGGCCUUCGGGUUGUAAAGCCCUUUUGUUGGGAAAGAAAAGCAGUCGAUUAAUACUCGGUUGUUCUGACGGUACCCAAAGAAUAAGCACCGGCUAACUUCGUGCCAGCAGCCGCGGUAAUACGAAGGGUGCAAGCGUUACUCGGAAUUACUGGGCGUAAAGCGUGCGUAGGUGGUUGUUUAAGUCUGUUGUGAAAGCCCUGGGCUCAACCUGGGAAUUGCAGUGGAUACUGGGCGACUAGAGUGUGGUAGAGGGUAGUGGAAUUCCCGG